rnacentral:rRNA from 1 species
GGAAUAUUGCACAAUGGGGGAAACCCUGAUGCAGCAACGCCGCGUGAGUGAAGAAGUAUUUCGGUGUGUAAAACUCUAUCAGCAGGGAAGAAAAUGACAGUACCUGACUAAGAAGCCCCGGCUAACUACGUGCCAGCAGCCGCGGUAAUACGUAGGGGGCAAGCGUUAUCCGGAUUUACUGGGUGUAAAGGGAGCGUAGACGGCUGUGCAAGUCAGAAGUGAAAGCCCGGGGCUCAACCGCGGGACUGCUUUUGAAACUGUGUAGCUGGAGUGCAGGAGAGGUAAGUGGAAUUCCUAGUGUAGCGGUGAAAUGCGUAGAUAUUAGGAGGAACACCGGUGGCGAAGGCGGCUUACUGGACUGUAACUGACGUUGAGGCUCGAAAGCGUGGGGAGCAAACA